rnacentral:rRNA from 1 species
AUACGUAGGUGGCAAGCGUUGUCCGGAAUUAUUGGGCGUAAAGCGCGCGCAGGUGGUUCCUUAAGUCUGAUGUGAAAGCCCCCGGCUCAACCGGGGAGGGUCAUUGGAAACUGGGGAACUUGAGUGCAGAAGAGGAUAGUGGAAUUCCAAGUGAAGCGGUGAAAUGCGUAGAGAUUUGGAGGAACACCAGUGGCGAAGGCGACUGUCUGGUCUGUAACUGACACUGAGGCGCGAAAGCGUGGGGAGCAAACAGGAUUAGAUACCCUGGUAGUCCACGCCGUAAACGAUGAGUGCUAAGUGUUGGGGGGUUUCCGCCCCUCAGUGCUGCAGCUAACGCAUUAAGCACUCCGCCUGGGGAGUACGGUCGCAAGACUGAAACUCAAAGGAAUUGACGGGG